AGUGGCGCACGGGUGCGUAACGCGUAUGCAAUCUACCGCUGACUGGGGAAUAGCCCUCCGAAAGGAGGAUUAAUACCGCAUAACACUGCGAAGUGGCAUCACUUUGCAGUCAAAACUCUGGUGGUCAGCGAUGAGCAUGCGUCCGAUUAGCUAGUUGGUGAGGUAACGGCUCACCAAGGCUACGAUCGGUAGGGGGUCUGAGAGGAUGAUCCCCCACACUGGUACUGAGACACGGACCAGACUCCUACGGGAGGCAGCAGUAAGGAAUAUUGGACAAUGGGCGCAAGCCUGAUCCAGCCAUGCCGCGUGAAGGAUGAAUGCCCUAUGGGUUGUAAACUUCUUUUAGCAGGGAAAAAACCCCUCGAUGCGUCGAGGGCUGAUGGUACCUGCGGAAUAAGGAUCGGCUAACUCCGUGCCAGCAGCCGCGGUAAUACGGAGGAUCCAAGCGUUAUCCGGAUUUAUUGGGUUUAAAGGGUGUGUAGGCGGAUAAAUAAGUCAGUGGUGAAAGCCUGCAGCUCAACUGCAGAACUGCCAUUGAUACUGUUUAUCUUGAAUAUGGUUGAGGUGGGCGGAAUAUGACAUGUAGUGGUGAAAUACUUAGAUAUGUCAUAGAACACCGAUUGCGAAGGCAGCUCACUAAGCCAUCAUUGACGCUGAGGCACGAAAGCGUGGGGAGCAAACAGGAUUAGAUACCCUGGUA
rnacentral:rRNA from 1 species